rnacentral:rRNA from 1 species
UACGUAGGGGGCAAGCGUUGUCCGGAUUUAUUGGGCGUAAAGAGCUCGUAGGCGGUCAGUCGCGUCUGCUGUGAAAACUCGGGGCUUAACUCCGGGCCUGCAGUGGGUACGGGCUGACUAGAGUGCGGUAGGGGAGACUGGAAUUCCUGGUGUAGCGGUGAAAUGCGCAGAUAUCAGGAGGAACACCGGUGGCGAAGGCGGGUCUCGUGGGCCGUAACUGGACGCUGAGGAGCGAAAGCGUGGGGAGCGAACAGG